rnacentral:rRNA from 1 species
AGAGUUUGAUCCUGGCUCAGGAUGAACGCUAGCUACAGGCUUAACACAUGCAAGUCGAGGGGAAACGACAUCGAAAGCUUGCUUUUGAUGGGCGUCGACCGGCGCACGGGUGAGUAACGCGUAUCCAACCUGCCCACCACUUGGGGAUAACCUUGCGAAAGUAAGACUAAUACCCAAUGACGUCUCUAGAAGACAUCUGAAGGAGAUUAAAGAUUUAUCGGUGAUGGAUGGGGAUGCGUCUGAUUAGCUUGUUGGCGGGGUAACGGCCACCAAGGCGACGAUCAGUAGGGGUUCUGAGAGGAAGGUCCCCCANACUUGGAACUGGAGACACGGUCCAAACUCCGUACGGGAGGCA